ensembl:snoRNA SNORA70 Small nucleolar RNA SNORA70
UGGCAGUAAUAUCUUUGUUUACCAGUCCAAUUACUUCCUUAGAAUCAAUGCCAUGGGGGCCCAGUGUGCAAUGGCUGCAAAUAGCAGGCUCCUUGGUAGUGUAUGCAACCUGUUGCCUGUACAGGCUGCCCUAAGGGACCUUGGAGACAAAU